rnacentral:misc_RNA from 1 species
AUUAGGUCAAUUGGCAUCAAUUCAACAAACCCCCAAAAUUUUCCCCAAAUUUAUCAUGGUCAAGAACCCUAAUUCACCAAUUAGUAUACUUCAUGAAAUUAAAGUAUACCCCUAACACCUACCCACUCAAAUUGACUUGCAUGCAUGAUUUAUUGAAGUAGAAUACAUCAUUUCCCCCCAACACUCAUGGCUGCCGAAUUUCAUGGAGUUCCCUAACUUAUCAUGUUGUUUCAUUUUCAACAAUUUCUACUCAAUUUAAAUAUCCAAUUACACAUUUAAAGAAAGAAAUAGAAAAAUUUUCCACUAACCUUAGGUGAAGCUUUUCUAUCCUCUCAAUUCCUUUGAGUUUCCAUUUCUUUUUCACUUUCAAUUUUCCAAUCAAGACUCAAGAACAAGUUUUUCUUAAGGGAGUUGUGAAAUUGAUGGAAAUUUUUAGGGUUGUGAAAGCUUGAAAUAAGCUUUCAUGGUGAAAGAAGAAAAAA